rnacentral:rRNA from 1 species
GAUGAACGCUGGCGGCGUGCUUAACACAUGCAAGUCGAACGAUGAAGCCCAGGUUGCUGGGUGGAUUAGUGGCGAACGGGUGAGUAACACGUGAGUAACCUGCCCUUAACUCUGGGAUAAGCCUGGGAAACUGGGUCUAAUACCGGAUAGGAGCGUCCACCGCAUGGUGGGUGUUGGAAAGAUUUAUCGGUUUUGGAUGGGCUCGCGGCCUAUCAGCUUGUUGGUGAGGUAAUGGCUGACCAAGGCGACGACGGGUAGCCGGCCUGAGAGGGUGACCGGCCACACUGGGACUGAGACACGGCCCAGACUCCUACGGGAGGCAGCAGUGGGGAAUAUUGCACAAUGGGCGCAAGCCUGAUGCAGCGCCGCCGCGUGAGGGAUGACGGCCUUCGGGUUGUAAACCUCUUUCAGUAGGGAAGAAGCGAAAGUGACGGUACCUGCAGAAGAAGCACCGGCUAACUACGUG